rnacentral:rRNA from 1 species
GAUGAACGCUAGCUACAGGCUUAACACAUGCAAGUCGAGGGGCAGCGGUAUCGAAAGCUUGCUUUCGGUAGCCGGCGACCGGCGCACGGGUGAGUAACGCGUAUCGAACCUGCCUCAUACUCGGGAAUAGCCUUGCGAAAGUAAGAUUAAUGCCCGGUGUUUUCAGAGUCCCGCAUGAGGCUUUGAACAAAGAUUUAUCGGUAUGAGAUGGCGAUGCGUCCCAUUAGCUUGUUGGCGGGGUAACGGCCCACCAAGGCAUCGAUGGGUAGGGGUUCUGAGAGGAAGGUCCCCCACAUUGGAACUGAGACACGGUCCAAACUCCUACGGGAGGCAGCAGUGAGGAAUAUUGGUCAAUGGGCGGAGGCCUGAACCAGCCAAGUAGCGUGCAGGAAGACGGCCCUCCGGGUUGUAAACUGCUUUUAGUUGGGAAUAAAACGGGGCUCGUGAGCCCCCUUGCAUGUACCAUCAGAAAAAGGACCGGCUAAUUCCGUG